GCGGCUCGCAGGUGAGGAGGCGUCCGGGGCCGCGGGAAGUAGGGUCGUGGGGGCCUGGCGGGGCGAAGUAGGGGACCCGGAGGGGCUGGAGGGAGGCGGGCGGGAGGCCCGGGACCGUUCCUGACCGAGAAGCCUGCGCCAAGCUGGUGUUCCGCGGCCGCUGCCCGGUGCCCGGCUCCACUGCGAACGCCGCCGCUGGGCCCCGACCGCCCGGGAGGCGUCUUGGGCUCGCCCCGGAGCUUCCUCCCUGGAGCCGCGCCCUGCACCCGGCCUUGCCCGGCCCUAGCAGGGAAGCCAAGGCUUGUGGGGCGCAGGGACCCGGGCUCUGCGGGGUCCCGGUUCCGCCUCCCCACUCCUGCGUCUUCCCGCCCCUGCCGGGUUCUGGGAAGCCUCGCGCGGCUCUUCCGCAGCUGCUGCCCGCCCGGAGCUCCUGGUCCCUCGUAGGGGACCCCACUUCUCUGACACCGCGUUGGGUUCCCGGGGCCUACAGCGAGGCUUGUAACUCCGGGAGAGACCCUGGAGCGGGGUGUGGGAGAACGGUCUGGAGGAAGGGCUCCGAGCACUUCGAAAGUAUAAACCGCGGUCCCAAAGAGGCGUGCUGUGUCUGCAUUUUCCUGGGAGUGCACGGUUUACAUUCUCGAAAGCAGUGCUGUCGACUAGAAAUAUUGAGCGAUACACAUGUACAAGUUUUGUCACUUAAAAAGAAUUUGAAAAAACUUCAUAGAUGCAAAAAAAAAAAAAAACCACCAUUAUUAAAGAAUACUUAGGUAUUUGUGGAAUGCAUUGAAGAGUUAACAAAAUGGAUAGGCAGGAAAUAUCGCAGACCUAGAAUGAAUUACAGUUACCCACUGUGGAACUGAGGAGCUAGGGUUUCUCAUAAAACUCCCUGAUAGAAGACGACUUUUGAUAAAUUUUUUUUUCCGCCAACAAAAUCCCCUGUCUUCUCAACUAGUUACUGUCUGUCCACUAAAUAAGAGGUGGUCCGUCACUUCUUCAGAUGAGCAACUACAGGCUUUUCAAAAGAUAAUUGCUAAUCAACCCCUUUGUGCCUGGGUUUUCUUAUUUGUAAAAAUAGAUACUACUACCUAACUCCAAAGUGUGUGGUGAAGACAAACAAUUGGGGUGAUGUAUACUAAAGUAACGAAAGUGUUGACCACACACUACGGGCUGGUUAGUGUUAGAUUCCCUUGUUUUUCCCUCAGUAUCAAAAACAGAUCUAAUUUAGGUUUACAUAAAGACAAAGUAUGAAGAUAAGGUGACUUACAGUUGGUACUACUAACAAAAUGUUUGGGCUAAGAUUUGCAUUAUUGCAUGAAAACAACAAAACAUAUCAAUAAAUAACAAAAAGCUUGGAAUUCAGACGACAGAUCCAAGUCUGGGCUUGAUCUCAAGCUAGUGUUUUGAUGUUGAAAAAAUGUUAUUUGGUCUUUCUAACCCCAUUUCCUUAUGUAAAAUAGGGGAUGAUGAUAAAUUCACUGAUAAUAAGAGUUAAAUGAGAUUCUUGAGGAGUCAGAAUGGUUCUAACAUGUGUAGGUAUUAUUAGCAGUCAUACUGUAGCAUAAGAAAAUACCGUCUGCUGAAAGAGGGACAAUAAAGAUUAUCUACAUGGUCAUCAUUUAAAAGCUACCAGAUAUAGGAAGAAGGGGCCAUAAAAUGAUAACGUUAUGAUGAUUAAUUUUGAUGCUUAGGUCAGAGUCCAUUCUAGGAUAUCUGCUGCCCAAAAACAGCAGAGACUCAUUUCUUUGGAAUCACAGGACGCUGAGUGAGAGGAAAGAAAAAGAAAAGAAAUAUUUAAGUCACAUAUGUGAUUUCUAAAAGUAAAAAGAAACAGAUGAAAUUAGUGAUAUAUUUUUAAAAUCCAGUAUAUCCCAAAUAUGGUUAUUUUAGCACGUAAUCAAUAUAAAAUAAUAAGAUAUUUUACAUUCUUUUUUUCUAGCCUUUGAAAUUUGGUGCAUAUUUUACACUUAUGGCACAUCUCAAUUCAGACUAUCCACAUUUCAAGUGCUCAGUGGCUGCAUGUGCCUGGUGGCUACCAUAUUGGACAGCACAGGUCUAAGGAUUUCAUUCCUGCCACAAGUCCAAACUCCUAGCUUUAAUUUUGAGUGUUUUUAACAAACUGGCCUCUGUUUAUCAUUCUUUCUUCUAGUACUUCCCCAAGGAUGAUUGUACCCUCAGCACUCAAGACCGCUUGCGGUUCCCCUACACACUUUUUGUUCAAGCUGUUUCUUUUACCUGGAAUGCUGUCUUUGCACCUUCUUCCUGGACCUGGUUCACCCUCGUUGCCUAGGCUGGAGUGCCAUGGCGCGAUCUUGGCACACUGCAACCUCCACCUUCCUGGUUCAAGUGAUUCUCCUUCCUCAGCCUCCCGAGUAGCGGGGAUUACAGGCAUGCACCACCACGCCUGGCUAAUUUUGUAUUUUUAGUAGAGAUGGAGUUUCACCAUGUUGGUCAGACUGGUCUCGAACUCCCGACCUCAGGUGAUCUGCCUGCCUUCGCCUCCCAAAGUGCUGGGAUUACAGGCGUGAGCCGCUGCGCCCGGCCGAGAGGCACACAUUCUGCUAAGAGCUUUUUCCUGACUCCCCUAACUCCAAGAGGGAUUUGUCACUCCUUAGCUUUGUACCCAUGACUGGAGUAGAAUGAAUUUAAUUUGAGUUUAGUUGUUUUUGAGACUCUCCCUGGCUAGUGUAGUGUCUUAUUCGUCUUUGUUGUGAUCAUGGCCUGCACCUAACAGAUGAUCAGUAGAUGUUUGCAGACAGAAAGUAAACCACUCAUCAGGUGUAUUCAGUCCCAUUCUUGAACGGGCUUGCUGCCUCCUUUUUGAGGAGAUCUGUGUAUGUACUCUUCUUUCACGCAUAUGUGUGAGCAAACACACACACACUAACAAGAAAUUCAUCUGAAGAUGUGCACAGGAAAUAUCUUGCAUCUUUACCCCCUUUGUGAUCUUACAUAUGGGAGAACUGAGGCACAGAAAUAAGUUAGGACAGCCAGCAAACUUGCAUCAGUAUAAAUACAAAGAAGGGGAGGGAGGAACAUGCUUGAAAGGGGUGUGCUGGUCUCAGAGGGUUGGGUUUCUCAGUUGGCUGGGCAUCAGCUGGCCAUGCUUUAGUUAUUUGAUGGGAGGAAAAAUAAGUGGGAGGUGAGGAGUAACUCCUGGGCUCUGAUGAGUAUUCAAGGCAAGUACAGAUCUGGAAAGCCUGUAUGCAAAGGAGGAACUCACUGAAAAGUGCUGGCCUGAGGAGGGCAGAAGGGAGGGCUGGGGAAGCCAGCAGCGGGAGCAAAGGAGUAGGCUCCAACUGGGUGAAGAUGUUGGUGUGGUGCGUUAUGUAAAAUAUACAAAUUAUUAUUGGAAAUAACCACGUCUCAGCAGUGCUAGUUCUCAGUUUGGAGAAUGGGAAAUCGAAAGGAUCAGAUUCAGAGACGGCAACUUACUCAAGGUCACAGCAUUUUAAACCCAAGUGAAAUCUCCUAGGCCCUUCAUGCCACACUCAUCCAUCCCUACCUACUUGUGUUGCAACCAAGGGCCCCACUGUAGUGCCUAGGGGAGCAGGUCUAGGGCACAGUGCCAGGCCUGAUUAAUGUCUUCCUUACCAUUUUCCAGUGAGGGGCUGUGAUUAGGCCUAUUUAUAGGGGCCUGGUCCCUUAAUAUUCUGCCUGGUGCAUCUCUUGCCAAUCAAAUCAGUGCUGUCUGCAGUGUGAUUGCUGCUUUAGUGGCACCAGGGAGAGGAGUUAAUUAAACCCAAUAUAAAUAGACUCUGCCCUCACUUUGCAAUUCCAGGAGUGUUUUUCCUUCCUGUCCUCCACCCCCACAGGCACCUCUUUCCUCUUGUCCCCCUAAGCUCUAGCCUGGGUGAGCAGGGCUGGAUACUCCUAUACCUAGAGUCACUAGCCACUGCCCAGUCUGUUUCAGGAGCAGGCCUCAGAUUCCUCAGGGGUUAAAGUGGGAAGAACCCGUGUGUGCACAUUUUUUGUGCUUUUCCAGAACUGUGUACCAUUUGGCAGUUGAUCAGGCAAUCUCCCCUGCUACCCCAUUUCUACCCCUUUGUUUCCAGCCUCUUUUUUCCUCUGCAACCAAGGUUUCUUGUUUAUCCAAGGUGGGGAGCUGAACUGAGACAAGGUAUGGAAAGGGUGCCUGGCAGGUAGCAAGCACCUUGUAGGGGGUCAGAAAUGUUGCACCUUCUCUGAACUCCUCCAUUGACCCUACAGAUUCCCCAGUCCCGGGCCCUGCCCUUUCCCUCAUUCACUCAGCAGGCAUCAGCAGAGUCCCAUCUAUGCGCUCCUGGCCUCUCAGCAAAUGCUCUGUCCCCUACUCCCCUAUCUGUGCAGGCUGAAGCUAUGUGCAUAGUUGGGAUGAGGGCUGUGUUGUCUCAACACCACGCUGCCCUGUGGUGGGGGCGUGCCGGUGGUCGUGGGUGGCUCUGACGCUCCGGCUCCGACCCACAGGCACCAUGACUCCUGUGAGGAUGCAGCACUCCCUGGCAGGUCAGACCUAUGCCGUGCCCUUCAUCCAGCCAGACCUGCGGCGAGAGGAGGCCGUCCAGCAGAUGGCGGAUGCCCUGCAGUACCUGCAGAAGGUCUCUGGAGACAUCUUCAGCAGGUAGAGCAGAGCCGGAGCCAGGUGCAGGCCAUUGGAGAGAAGGUCUCCUUGGCCCAGGCCAAGAUUGAGAAGAUCAAGGGCAGCAAGAAGGCCAUCAAGGUGUUCUCCAGUGCCAAGUACCCUGCUCCAGGGCGCCUGCAGGAAUAUGGCUCCAUCUUCACGGGCGCCCAGGACCCUGGCCUGCAGAGACGCCCCCGCCACAGGAUCCAGAGCAAGCACCGCCCCCUGGACGAGCGGGCCCUGCAGGAGAAGCUGAAGGACUUUCCUGUGUGCGUGAGCACCAAGCCGGAGCCCGAGGACGAUGCAGAAGAGGGACUUGGGGGUCUUCCCAGCAACAUCAGCUCUGUCAGCUCCUUGCUGCUCUUCAACACCACCGAGAACCUGUAUGGCCAGAGGGCAGGGCCGAGGGGUGUGGGCGGGAGGCCCGGCCUGGCUUAGUGGGGACCCAGGGCAUCAGACACAGGUACAGCACAUAGGCCAGGAGCCAGGGGGUGACGGGUGGCUCGGCUCGGGAGGCCUGGGACCCCACAGUGCACGCUGUGCCCCUGAUGAUGUGGGAGAGGAACAUGGGCUCAGGACAGCGGGUGUCAGCUUGCCUGACCCCCAUGUCGCCUCUGUAGGUAGAAGAAGUAUGUCUUCCUGGACCCCCUGGCUGGUGCUGUAACAAAGACCCAUGUGAUGCUGGGGGCAGAGACAGAGGAGAAGCUGUUUGAUGCCCCCUUGUCCAUCAGCAAGAGAGAGCAGCUGGAACAGCAGGUCCCAGAGAACUACUUCUAUGUGCCAGACCUGGGCCAGGUGCCUGAGAUUGAUGUUCCAUCCUACCUGCCUGACCUGCCCGGCAUUGCCAACGACCUCAUGUACAUUGCCGACCUGGGCCCCGGCAUUGCCCCCUCUGCCCCUGGCACCAUUCCAGAACUGCCCACCUUCCACACUGAGGUAGCCGAGCCUCUCAAGACCUACAAGAUGGGGUACUAACACCACCCCCACCGCCCCCACCACCACCCCCAGCUCCUGAGGUGCUGGCCAGUGCACCCCCACUCCCACCCUCAACCGCGGCCCCUGUAGGCCAAGGCGCCAGGCAGGACGACAGCAGCAGCAGCGCGUCUCCUUCAGGUGGGAGCAGCUCUUUGAGGCCACCUGAUUUCUGGCGUGCUCAGUGCACUCGGGUGGAUUUUCUGUGGGUUUGUUAAGUGGUCAGAAAUUCUCAAUUUUUUGAAUAGUUUCCAUUUCAAAUAUCUUGUUCUACUUGGUUCAUAAAAUAGUGGUUUUCAAACUGUAGAGCUCUGGACUUCUCACUUCUAGGGCAGAGGGAGCCUGAACAAGUGAGGCUCUGGGUUCCCCAUUCCUAAUUAAACCAAUGGAAAGAAGGGGUCUAAUAACAAACUACAGCAACACAUUUUUCAUUUCAGCUUCACUGCUGUGUCUCCCAGUGUAACCCUAGCAUCCAGAAGUGGCACAAAACCCCUCUGCUGGCUCGUGUGUGCAACUGAGACUGUCAGAGCAUGGCUAGCUCAGGGGUCCAGCUCUGCAGGGUGGGGGCUAGAGAGGAAGCAGGGAGUAUCUGCACACAGGAUGCCCGCGCUCAGGUGGUUGCAGAAGUCAGUGCCCAGGCCCCCACACACAGUCUCCAAAGGUCCGGCCUCCCCAGCGCAGGGCUCCUCGUUUGAGGGGAGGUGACUUCCCUCCCAGCAGGCUCUUGGACACAGUAAGCUUCCCCAGCCCUGCCUGAGCAGCCUUUCCUCCUUGCCCUGUUCCCCACCUCCCGGCUCCAGUCCAGGGAGCUCCCAGGGAAGUGGUUGACCCCUCCGGUGGCUGGCCACUCUGCUAGAGUCCAUCCGCCAAGCUGGGGGCAUCGGCAAGGCCAAGCUGCGCAGCAUGAAGGAGCGAAAGCUGGAGAAGCAGCAGCAGAAGGAGCAGGAGCAAGUGAGAGCCACGAGCCAAGGUGGGCACUUGAUGUCGGAUCUCUUCAACAAGCUGGUCAUGAGGCGCAAGGGCAUCUCUGGGAAAGGACCUGGGGCUGGUGAGGGGCCCGGAGGAGCCUUUGCCCGCGUGUCAGACUCCAUCCCUCCUCUGCCGCCACCGCAGCAGCCACAGGCAGAGGAGGACGAGGACGACUGGGAAUCGUAGGGGGCUCCAUGACACCUUCCCCCCCAGACCCAGACUUGGGCCGUUGCUCUGACAUGGACACAGCCAGGACAAGCUGCUCAGACCUACUUCCUUGGGAGGGGGUGACGGAACCAGCACUGUGUGGAGACCAGCUUCAAGGAGCGGAAGGCUGGCUUGAGGCCACACAGCUGGGGCGGGGACUUCUGUCUGCCUGUGCUCCAUGGGGGGACGGCUCCACCCAGCCUGCGCCACUGUGUUCUUAAGAGGCUUCCAGAGAAAACGGCACACCAAUCAAUAAAGAACUGAGCAGAAACCAACAG
rnacentral:lncRNA from 1 species